CAUAGAAUUGCAUCUCCUUAUCACCCACAGUCUAGUGGUCAAGUAGAAUUGAGCAAUAGAGAACUCAAAUUAAUUUUGCAAAAGACUGUUAAUAGAUCUAGAAAGAAUUGGUCCAAGAAACUUGAUGAUGCAUUAUGGGCCUGUAGAACUGCAUAUAAAAAUCCUAUGGGUAUGUCUCCGUAUAAAAUGGUUUAUGGAAAAGCAUAUCACUUACCUCUCAAACUAGAACAUAAGGCUUAUUGCGCUAUUAAAGAACUUAAUUAUGAUUUCAAACUUGUCGGUGAGAAGAGGUUAUUUGACAUUAGCUCACUUGAUGAAUGGAGAACCAAAGCCUAUGAG
rnacentral:rRNA from 1 species